CCCCUCUGCGGACUUCCCGUUGGGCCUUGGAGUGAGAAAAGUGGGAAAGGUCAAGUCUUUCGGUGAGUGUGAAGGACGGUCCAGAUCAACGGCUGAGGAUGCUCGGAAGCUCCCCACUCUCUGACGCUCAGUUAACGGCGGAGAGGAGGCAGAUCUGUUAGGUUUCCGGCCCGCUCUUCCGCUUCCAGUCAUACACACCAGAUCCCCGAAGCAGAGAUGGCUGUGAUUUCGGCGGGUGAGGAGGUUCGAGCUGCUAACCAUGUACCCGCUGCCGGCCUGCUGGCUGGGCUCUGCUUCGCGGAGGCGUUGGAAACUUUAGCCGUCCUCAACUUCCUCCGUCUCUUCCUGAAGCAGGCGCUGCUCCAAUCUGCACACCGUUGUCGUCUCGGUAGGCUUUGUCUUCUUCGUUCCAUUUGGGGAGUGAUGGACAAAGCGUGGGGAAAAAGGACAUCGUCUUCUGGCGUAGAGGUGCCGGACAAUGGGUUACCGUUAUGUCGCUAAGUACUCGUCAUUAAAUGACGGAGGUACCCUUACGGAGAAGCAUAGUUUAAACGGUCGGCUGGUAGCUACAGUUAGGGUACGAAAGUCUUUAAAAUUGUAAGAGUAAAAGCUCCUCCCUCAAGACGGUGGUUGCACCUGAAAAAGAAAAAGGUGGAUUGUGUGGUUCAUGGGUAGGUGUCUUUCGACUUACAACCAGUUGUGAAAUUUACCCAUUUCUGUUUUUUGAACUGCGGUUAUCUACUUAAUCCAAGUUAGGUAGGGAAGAAAUUUUGUCAUUUGAAAAACUUUUCUCGCCACACGCUCUUUCCUGUGGUUAUGUUAUGCCGUUUCAUUAGAAAGAAAACAUUUUUUAUUAAUUGUUUAGAAGGACUAAUAUUGAGUAUCCAAGACAACAGUAGAGAUGUACUUGUCGACAUAUAAGGGGGCAUCAAUAUGUCAAAAGUAUGUCCAACAACUUUAGAUGGUAUGGUGAAUUGAACGUCGCCGUUAUUUGGUUGUCUUCUGAACUAUUUUUUGUUGACAAUUGGCAUAAUCAGACCAUCAAAGUGAAGGGAUUCGUCGAAACCAUAAGUAAAUCAUUUAUUUCUUUC